rnacentral:ncRNA from 2 species
CUUGGGAAUUUAAGAGGAAUUCCGUGUAAUUCGGAAACUGUGCCGCAACGGUAAAGUCCGGAACUCUUUUCCAAA